ACGUCGGUGGUGAAACGGUUAUCAUCCUUGCCUUCCAUUUGUCGAGGCAGCAAGGGGCGGGGGUUCGACUCCCUCCCGACGUA